rnacentral:sRNA from 1 species
GCCAGAUGUGGUGGUGCACGCCUGUAAUCCCAGGGAUUUGGGAGGCUGAGGCAGGAGGAUGGCAAGUGUGAGGCCAGCCUCAGCAACUUAGCAAGAUCCUGUCUCAA